ensembl:snRNA U6 U6 spliceosomal RNA
GUGCUCACUUCGGCAGCACAUAUACUAAAAUUGGAAUGAUACAGAGAAGAUUAGCAUGGCCCCUGCACAAAGAUGAAAAUCCUAGAGUUUAUCAAACUGAAUUU